AUUUUGUGUGUUGUGACAGUUGAAAAAUUGUUGGCAAUGGAUGAGGUUCUAAAGGUGAAGAAUGGAUAAGGAGAUACAGACAAAGAUGAGACGGGAUAGUGUGUGUCUAAUUCACAAGCAACUUGACAUAUAAAGCCAAGAGAUGAUGAAAGUGGAAGCAAUAAGUCUAAUGAUAACGUUCAAGCCCAAUCUUGUUUGGACAUUUCUAUGGUAGGUAGAGCCCAUUAACCUCUCUGGCUCUCUUUAGUCUUUACUAUUGUGUUUGACUUUUGAUGAUGGUUAUACUGUGAUUUGUGAACCGAAUGCUAGUUGUGUCUAUUGUAUAAGGAAGAAGAAUGGGAGUGAAGGUAGAAGUAGGCAAAUAGCAUUACAGGGAAUCUCUAGUCAUUGUUUUGUAUUUUGGAUACAAGGAGAGACAAGUCUUUUGAAAUAAAUAGCCAAAGUGAUCAAUCAAUAGGUUUAAUCCAUUGCAUAGCUCUGUGUUGUUGCUGUUCUCUGGUUU